AGACUACUACAUAGUUAAGACCUUGUCUCCACAACUCGAUAGAUGGAUGGAUGGACGGACGGACGGACAGCUGGACAGAUAAGACAAACCUGACACAAAGCAAAGGUCAAGCAAGAAGAGAAGUGUCAUCCCACAGAUCAUCAUCACCCGGGCCUCAAACGAGACGCUCAUCAGCUAUGGCAUCCCCGACAGCGAUGAACAGAGAACCAUUCGGGAGCAUGCCGACUGGGGCCCAUACUACCGACACAGGAGCCCCAGCACAAUAGCAGCCUAUGAGGUGCAGAACACAGAAUAAAGGAGAGCUCGCAGUA
rnacentral:lncRNA from 1 species